rnacentral:rRNA from 1 species
GACGAACGCUGGCGGCGUGCUUAACACAUGCAAGUCGAACGGAAAGGCCCUGCUUUUGUGGGGUGCUCGAGUGGCGAACGGGUGAGUAACACGUGAGUAACCUGCCCUUGACUUUGGGAUGACUUCAGGAAACUGGGGCUAAUACCGGAUAGGAGCUCCUGCUGCACGGUGGGGGUUGGAAAGUUUCGGCGGUUGGGGAUGGACUCGCGGCUUAUCAGCUUGUUGGUGGGGUAGUGGCUUACCAAGGCUUUGACGGGUAGCCGGCCUGAGAGGGUGACCGGCCACAUUGGGACUGAGAUACGGCCCAGACUCCUACGGGAGGCAGCAGUGGGGAAUAUUGCACAAUGGGCGGAAGCCUGAUGCAGCAACGCCGCGUGCGGGAUGACGGCCUUCGGGUUGUAAACCGCUUUCGCCUGUGACGAAGCGUGAGUGACGGUAAUGGGUAAAGAAGCACCGGCUAACUACGUGCCAGCAGCCGCGGUGAUACGUAGGGUGCGAGCGUUGUCCGGAUUUAUUGGGCGUAAAGGGCUCGUAGGUGGUUGAUCGCGUCGGAAGUGUAAUCUUGGGGCUUAACCCUGAGCGUGCUUUCGAUACGGGUUGACUUGAGGAAGGUAGGGGAGAAUGGAAUUCCUGGUGGAGCGGUGGAACGCGCAGAUAUCAGGAGGAACACCAGUGGCGAAGGCGGUUCUCUGGGCCUUUCCUGACGCUGAGGAGCGAAAGCGUGGGGAGCGAACAGGCUUAGAUACCCUGGUAGUCCACGCUGUAAACGGUGGGUACUAGGUGUGGGGUCCAUUCCACGGGUUCCGUGCCGUAGCUAACGCUUUAAGUACCCCGCCUGGGGAGUACGGCCGCAAGGCUAAAACUCAAAGGAAUUGACGGGGCCCCGCACAAGCGGCGGAGCAUGCGGAUUAAUUCGAUGCAACGCGUAGAACCUUACCUGGGUUUGACAUGGAUCGGGAGUGCUCAGAGAUGGGUGUGCCUCUUUUGGGGUCGGUUCACAGGUGGUGCAUGCCUGUCGUCAGCUCGUGUCGUGAGAUGUUGGGUUAAGUCCCGCAACGAGCGCAACCCUUGUUCACUGUUGCCAGCACGUUAUGGUGGGGACUCAGUGGAGACCGCCGGGGUCAACUCGGAGGAAGGUGGGGAUGACGUCAAGUCAUCAUGCCCCUUAUGUCCAGGGCUUCACGCAUGCUACAAUGGCUGGUACAGAGAGUGGCGAGCCUGUGAGGGUGAGCGAAUCUCGGAAAGCCGGUCUCAGUUCGGAUUGGGGUCUGCAACUCGACCUCAUGAAGUCGGAGUCGCUAGUACUCGCAGAUCAGCAACGCUGCGGUGAAUACGUUCCCGGGGCU